AAAAAAACUCACACUAUUUCUAGGUCCCUGAGUUUAAG
rnacentral:misc_RNA from 1 species